AGUGGGGAAUAUUGCACAAUGGAGGAAACUCUGAUGCAGCAACGCCGCGUGGAGGAUGACGCAUUUCGGUGUGUAAACUCCUUUUAUAUAGGAAGAUAAUGACGGUACUAUAUGAAUAAGCACCGGCUAACUCCGUGCCAGCAGCCGCGGUAAUACGGAGGGUGCAAGCGUUACUCGGAAUCACUGGGCGUAAAGCGCAUGCAGGCGGUCUAAUAAGUUGGAAGUGAAAUCCUAUGGCUCAACCAUAGAACUGCUUCCAAAACUGUUAGACUAGAGUCUGGGAGGGGAAGAUGGAAUUAGUAGUGUAGGGGUAAAAUCCGUAGAGAUUACUAGGAAUACCAAAAGCGAAGGCGAUCUUCUGGAACAGUACUGACGCUGAGAUGCGAAAGCGUGGGGAGCAAACAGGAUUAGAUACCCUGGUAGUCCACGCAGUAAACGAUGAAUGUUAGUCGUUGGUAUGCUAGACAUAUCAGUGAUGCAGUUAACACAUUAAACAUUCCGCCUGGGGAGUACGGUCGCAAGAUUAAAACUCAAAGGAAUAGACGGGGACCCGCACAAGUGGUGGAGCAUGUGGUUUAAUUCGAAGAUACGCGAAGAACCUUACCUAGCCUUGACAUAUUAUAGAAUUCAGUAGAGAUACAGAAGUGCCUUCGGGAGCUAUAUUACAGGUGCUGCACGGCUGUCGUCAGCUCGUGUCGUGAGAUGUUGGGUUAAGUCCCGCAACGAGCGCAACCCUCGUCACUAGUUACUAACGGUUAGGCCGAGGACUCUAGUGAGACUGCCUUCGUAAGGAGGAGGAAGGUGAGGACGACGUCAAGUCAUCAUGGCCCUUACGGCUAGGGCAACACACGUGCUACAAUGGUUAGGACAAUGAGAAGCAAUAUCGCGAGGUGGAGCAAAUCUAUAAACCUAAUCUCAGUUCGGAUUGUAGUCUGGAACUCGACUACAUGAAGCUGGAAUCACUAGUAAUCGUAGAUCGGCUAUGCUACGGUGAAUACGU
rnacentral:rRNA from 1 species